AUGUGUAUCAUACAUUGUGGGCCUGUUUAUUUCCCAAUUUUAUCUUCUCUCCCCAUAGGCCUCCCUCCUCCAAACAAGUUCUUCUCCCACUAUCAGAUCUUUCUGUUUUGGUUUUUAUUUUGUGGCCCACUGAGUUUAACAAAGGCUACAAUGUAGUUAUCUACUGGAACAUGAGCAGUUCACCAGGGCAAUACUUUUGAAGACAAUGAUUCUCAGCCUCCCACAGGCAACUGCCAAUAUCUCAAGAGUUCUGGCCCAAUGUUGACUCUCAAUCCAUAACAGAAUGCUGAAAGGUCCAUACUUGUGAAGGUCCUUCAGUAAGUUCAUGAGUACAAAGGCUAUGCCAUGUUCAUAGACUUUCGUGACUCUCUUCUCUGGUCCAGCUCUUGUAUUCUGUCUGCACACUCUUCAGUGAUUUUUCCCAAAUAUGGAAGAGGUGGUUCAGUGUAUCAUUUAAUUCUAAGCACUCAAUGGCCAGUUGUUCUCAACACUUUCUUUUUCAUUUUUCAGCCAGAUAACUCCAUACAAACUUCCAUACACUGCAUAAAGAAUAUUUUCUGGCAAAGGCUAAAGACAGCAUUAAAUAUUGGAUAUAAACAUAAAUAUUCAAAAGGCAGUUUGAAAACACGUUCAUUUGUCAGAACAGAUGCAAUAGCUUCACCUCUAGGGCCUAUGACAUCCCUACUCUUUGACUAGUAUUUGACCAAGUCCACAGUACCCUCUGGCAGAGUUGAGCUUCAAAUCCAAUCAGAAUGCAAUUGGUUACUGCAUAAAAGUCACGCCACCAUUAAAUCAAUGGGAAGGUUGGCAUUGUAGUAUCCAAGGUCAACAAAUACUCUUAACUAAGACUAUUGAUGAGAUUUCCUCCCAGGUGCCUUCAUCAAAACUGCUGCCAUUCUGAAAGUUAGCCAGCAGGAAGAAAGCUUACAGGUCAGAUCCCACAGGAUUUCUUUACAACUUCCAUCCAGAUUUAAAAAUACUUCAUGGACAUAAAUGUGGAAACACAAGAUCAUCCAAGGAGUCAUCACAUUAGAAAAUGGCUAUUCAACGAUGUCUGCUGUUGUUCAUCAGGCAAGCAUUUGUGUAAUGAGACUAUGGAGAGCACGAUAAGCCAAUUUUCCAGUGUAUAUCAUAUUUCAUCGAAAACAAAACUGAAGGUAGAAGAAAUGAUUUGUUGAGACAAGACUAGCUUCACCUUGGCAAAAAUCUAUUUCUUCAAGUUUUGGCACACCUUUCACCUAUACCAAGCUUUAAGAAAGCUAUGAAGAAGAGCUGAUGAAAUACCUCAGUGGCUAAGAACAUAUGAUUCAAGUUUUUUUUCCCGGCACCAAUGUCCAGCAGCUCACAAUUGCCUAUAAUUUCAGCUCAACCAUCAGCUUCUAACCCCUGCAGACACACAUGCACAUAAUUAAAAAGAAUAAAAAGUCUUUAAAAAUAAAUCUUAAGAAAUAAAAAUAUUAACUUGCG
ensembl:processed_transcript